AAUAAAACAUAGCUUUUUCGAAUAAUCAACUAAUAUACGUUUGCAUUUAUUGAAACAAGAAAUUUCAUAUCGGGAUGCCAUGGAUAAACUAAGAGUUUACUAUCUAAUAUCAUCGCUACUAAAUUAAUUUUGCUUAGGUAGCGAAAAUGCCUAAUAUUAAAACUCCAUAACUAUUAUCACCGCGUUUAACACGCAGCUAAAGUUCUUAAAGUUCCGGCGUCUUGAUGUUGAAAGGUUACUUGCUAUUCCUUUAAAAAUGGUUGAUUGACAAAUCUCGUCAAACACUUACAUACUUUGCAAUGAGUCUGAGUCAUUUUAUUAGAAUAACUGAAUAAAGCAUGAUGUUAUAAAAUCGUAGCUAAAGUGUGACUUUUCCAAAUGUCAACACAAACUCCUCAAAAACGAUGAAAUUCAAAACGAUUUUUUUUUAUCAAUUGACUUUGGCUGAUUAUAGAAUGGUUAGAAAACAAAAAUUUCCUUUUUCAUGACUUAGAGCUGACAUAAACAGGAAUUAUACAUCAUAAUAAAUCUUGAUUAACUUUAAAA